CUUUUUUCAAACAGUUAAAUUUGUCCUCUGUUCAUGAACGUUUCUUGUGUUCUUUUAUCACAGUCCACAGAGGGACCUUGGGAGAUGAAGGGGCUAUUAAGGAAAUAAAUAAAAGCCUGUACAGACACUUAGCUUGAUCAAGACCAAGCAUUAAAUAAUUACUGUAAUUCACUUAGGUUUCUUUUAAGCUGUGUAACGAUUUUCCCUGUUUCCCUCCUGCAUAAAAUUGAUCUGAUGAGGAGGACUAAACAAACGACCUCUAAAUUAAUUGGGAUUCUUUCCACCCUAAAGUAGUGCAUCUAUCUGUGCGGGAAUAGCAAAAAAGCUUUUAAAGAAGGAAAGAUAGGAAGGAGGAAAAAAAAAGGAAAGGCCUGUUCAUGCUUUGCAUCCUGUGCAGCAGAGAUGUAAUUGAAAAGAAGGUGACUGGUACAUCCACCAAGCGAAUUGGAAUAUCACGUAGUCCUCCUCUUCAAAGAACAGACACAAUGAGGUAAAAAGAAAGUGCAUGUUCGUGCGCACACAUUUGUCACCAGAGUCUGUGUGUGACAGGAUUGGUGGUGAGGUCAGCGGGCUGUAAAAUAGACCACAUGUGGGGAAGGGAUGAAAAGAAAUAAAGCAAAGAAAGAUAGUAUAGUAGAAAAAGAAAAAAAAGCGAAGGUGGACAUCACAGGACAUGACACAAAGUUAAUCUCGACAGCCGGGGCGAAAGCCGGUGUCCGGAGGCAGAGAGGAGCACAGCAAUCACAGCGGUGCUCUGUAGUGUUCUACGCAUCUCCUACUCCUGGUCGUGGAUCAAAGAACCCAUGCUCCCCCUUUGAAGUGGAAGGGCCGUCCGCUCAGGGAGGAAGGUGUUUGACUUGGGUCCAUGAAAAAGCCACAACAGCGUGCGCCUUAAUAACCUGCAGAGGAAGAAAACCCACGGAUGACAUUAACCCCGGACCAAGAGUGAUGUUCGUGACUAACGUAGAGACAACAUUGACAUGUAAUGAUCAUUAAACCAGCAAUGAUACAUUUGCAUAACUUAUAAUAAUAAAAUGAUU